rnacentral:lncRNA from 1 species
UAGACUUGGGGGUGACCAAAUCUGGAGAGAAGCUUGUGAAUUGGAAAUUAUGAAAAAAGAAAGAAAGAAACCACCAAGAAGAUCGUGAGACUUUUUGAAUAGAACUUCACAGUACUCUGUGUAGAAGUGAUGAUCCUCAAAAUG